CCCUUAGACGUCCUGGGCCGCACGCGCGUUACACUGAUGCAUUCAACGAGCUUAUAACCUUGGCCGAGAGGCCUGGGCAAUCUUGUUAACGUGCAUCGUGAUAGGGAUAGAUUAUUGAAAUUAUUAAUCUUGAACGAGGAAUUCCUAGUAAACGCAGAUCAUCAAUCUGCAUUGAUUACGUCCCUGCCCUUUGUACACACCGCCCGUCGCACCUACCGAUUGGAUGGUCCGGUGAAGCCUCGGGAUUGUGGUUCUUGCCGCUUUGUUGUGGCGUGACCGCGAGAACUUGUCUAAACCUUAUCAUCUAGAGGAAGGUGAAGUCGUAACA
rnacentral:rRNA from 1 species